GAUGAACGCUGGCGGCGUGCCUAAUACAUGCAAGUCGAGCGAACGGACGAGAAGCUUGCUUUUCUGAUGUUAGCGGCGGACGGGUGAGUAACACGUGGAUAACCUACCUAUAAGACUGGGAUAACUUCGGGAAACCGGAGCUAAUACCGGAUAAUAUUUUGAACCGCAUGGUUCAAAAGUGAAAGACGGUCUUGCUGUCACUUAUAGAUGGAUCCGCGCUGCAUUAGCUAGUUGGUAAGGUAACGGCUUACCAAGGCAACGAUGCAUAGCCGACCUGAGAGGGUGAUCGGCCACACUGGAACUGAGACACGGUCCAGACUCCUACGGGAGGCAGCAGUAGGGAAUCUUCCGCAAUGGGCGAAAGCCUGACGGAGCAACGCCGCGUGAGUGAUGAAGGUCUUCGGAUCGUAAAACUCUGUUAUUAAGAAGAACAUAUGUGUAAGUAACUGUGCACAUCUUGACGGUACCUAAUCAGAAAGCCACGGCUAACUACGUG
rnacentral:rRNA from 1 species